CGUGUGUUUUACUCCAGCAGGGUUUUUGCUCAGAGAGUCACUUUGCAUCGGCUCAUGCUUCAGCGCUCCGAGUGUUUAUAGCGUUCAGACUCAAACACUUUAUAACACACUGCUGUUUACCACGGUACAAACCCAACAAACACCAUGAAUCUCUUCAGCAGCUUCAUCUGGAUUCUGGCAGCUUUUAUUCCAGCAUCCAGAGGAAUCACUGUGACUCAGCCUGAAGCUGUGACUGUUUCUGAAGGACAAAACGCCAAAAUAGAGUGUAAAACUGAUCCUGGGAUAUAUAGCUGGGGUUUAGCUUGGUAUCAGCAGAAACAUGGAGAAGCUCCUAAACUCAUCAUUACUGGGGUAAAUGAUCGAUAUGGUACCAUUUCCAGUCGAUUCAGUGGAAAUGGAGCACGAGGUGGGACAGAUUUCACUCUGACCAUCAGUGGAGUCCAGACUGAAGAUGCUGGACAUUAUUACUGUCAGAGUUACCAUGAAAUCAACAGUCAAUAUGUGUUCACACAGUGAUAAAGAGUCGUACAAAAACCUCCGUCAGUCAGAGUCACAGUGACUGAACUGAUACUGCAGCUGCUCACACACUUUCACACACUUUCACACACUUUCACACACACUCAACAGUGAAGAAAAACUCAGUAUGAUCUUAUUGAACAUCAUAUUUGUUGAGCUGAAUCAAUUUUUUACCUUUUUGAUUGUGAUUUUUCAAAAGUCAUUUUUGUCUCCUGUUAUCCUAUUACAUUCUUUGAAAUUCAGUCACUUUUGAUCUUCACUUCAGUGGAUAUUUUUCCAGUCUUCCCUUUACAUUUUUUGAUUUUCUGCAUUUAUAAUUUAUCUUUAUUCUUCUUUCGAAACUGAAUCAUCAUCAGCGUCAUAAACAUGUUCUGCUUGAUCAGUUUAAUAAGUCUAUUGAUUUAUUGAUUUAUUAAGUUCAUCCCUCAUAAUGCAGAUAUUAACAGCAUCAUAUAAACACAUUCCUCAACUUCAGAGCAGAUGAUAAUGAAUAGAAUUGAUAUAAAUAUCUAUGUAUGGAAGAAUUAACAAUGAUAUAAAAAAUAAUUUUAAAAUUAAAGACCAGAUAUAUGCAUGUCACCAUAUAUUUUUACAUUUAUUUCAUAAAUAUUUCUAAAAGUGAAGAUGUUUCUAUCAUGUGACUCACAAUCAAACUCAGUUGAUUCAGUGAUUGACAGAGACUUGUGUGUGAUGAUCCUCAUGUCUGUUCAGAAACUGCAGGAACACACAUGGAUUUGGUGUAAAUUUGGCCAUUAACAGUGAUGUUUCAAUCCAACUACAGUAAAAAAUAUAAUUAAAGUCUCACAGAUUCAGGUUAAUAUACUAAAUCUUGCAGAUUUAUUCUGGACUGAAUGAUCUAAUACAAUUUACAACAUGUUGGCUAUUAGAAGGAUUAUUUUUAAUCUAUAUAUUCACUUCACUUCAGUAAUUGUAUUUUGUGUCUGUUAAUGAGUGACUGUCUUCAGGUAAAUGAUCUGGAGUGUGUUUGCAUAUUGAUCAGAUGCUUCAGUGCUCUGAGAGUGUUUAUAGUGCUGUGAGUUUAACACUUCAUCA